CCUACGGGUGGCAGCAGUGGGGAAUAUUGGGCAAUGGAGGAAACUCUGACCCAGCAACGCCGCGUGAAUGAUGAAGGUCUUCGGAUUGUAAAGUUCUUUUCUCAGGGAAGAAGACAGUGACGGUACCUUAGGACUCCGCCUCUGCUAACUACGUGCCAGCAGCCGCGGUACUACGUAGGCGGCAAGCGUUCUCCGGAAUGACUGGGCGUAAGGGGUGCGUAGGUGGUUUGACAAGUUGGUAGCGUAACUCCGGGGCUCAACCUCGGCACUACUACCAAAACUGUUGGACUUGAGUGCAGGAGGGGCAAAUGGAAUUCCUAGUGUAGCGGUGGAAUGCGUAGAUAUUAGGAGGAACACCAGUGGCGAAGGCGAUUUGCUGGACUGUAACUGACACUGAGGCACGAAAGCGUGGGGAGCAAACAGGAUUAGAUACCCUUGUAGUC
rnacentral:rRNA from 1 species